rnacentral:lncRNA from 10 species
ACAGUGGGAUGAACUUCAGUACCCUUGGCCUCCCCAGUAGCAAUGCUGGGAGCUAGAGGCAGGCAGGGCAGUUGGGUCCCUUGGCAAUUGCUGUGGGGCUUGGGCCAUACUCAGUGCUGGGGACAGGAGUUUUGCCCAGUGGAAUGUCAUAAACUAGGCUCAUGGGCUUGAAAAAAAAAAGAAAAGAAAAUCAAUCAUUGUAAUCCACCAUGUUAACAGGCUAAAGAAACAAAAUCAUAUGAUCAUAUCAUUUGAUACAGAAAAUACAAAACCCAACAUCUAGUGAUUAUAAAAAUUCUUAGCUGCCAGGCGUGGUGGCUUGUGCCUGUAAUCCCAACAGUUUGGGAGGUCAAGGCAGGAGGAUUGCUUGAGCCCAGGAGUUUGAGACCAGCCUGGGCAACAUGGCAAGACCCCGUCUCUGGCCAGGCAUGGUGGCUCUUGCCUAUAAUCACAGCACUUUGGGGGGCUAAGGCAGGCAGAUCACCUGAGGUUACAAGUUCGGGACCAGCCAACGUGGCAAAACCAUGUCUGUACUGAAAACACAAAAGCUAGCCAGGCGUGGUUGGUAGCACCUGUAAUACCGGCUACUCGGGAGGCUGAGGCAGGAGAAUCACUUGAACCCGGGAGGCGGAGGUUGCGGUGAGCCAAGAUCGCACUACUGCACUCCAGCCUGGAGAAAGAGCGAGACUUUGUCUCAAAAA